rnacentral:rRNA from 1 species
GGACGUCACAGAGGGUGAGAAUCCCGUACGUGGUCGCUAGCCUUUACCGUGUAAAGCCCCUUCGACGAGUCGAGUUGUUUGGGAAUGCAGCUCUAAAUGGGAGGUAAAUUUCUUCUAAAGCUAAAUACUGGCCAGAGACCGAUAGCGCACAAGUAGAGUGAUCGAAAGAUGAAAAGCACUUUGGAAAGAGGGUUAAAAAGCACGUGAAGUUGUUGAAAGGGAAGCGCUUGCAGCCAGACUUGCCUGUAGUUGCUCAUCCGGGUUUCUACCCGGUGCACUCUUCUACGGGCAGGCCAGCAUCAGUUUGGGCGGUUGGAUAAAGGUCUCUGUCAUGUACCUCCCUUCGGGGAGAUCUUAUAGGGGAGACGACAUGCAACCAGCCUGGACUGAGGUCCGCGCAUCUGCUAGGAUGCUGGCGUAAUGGCUGUAAGCGGCCCGUCUUGAAACACGGACCAAG